GCAUUCUAGGUGUAUCGGUCUUCUAUUCGUAAUUCCCUUUCUCUCCUCCGCAUCCUUCAGAGCAUGCUGUUCCGCUGGGGGUGAUAGCCCCCCUUGUCGGCCGGCUGAGAGGCCCCGGUAAACAGAGCUCCAUGGCCGUCUACAGGGACAGACCUGAACUCCAUGCCCAGUGGGACCAUUCCGAUUCGGGCAGGGCUGUGGUUAGAGGAAGCCUACCCCUAGAGCUCAGAGACUGGCAGCAGCGGACAGGCAAAGCACUCGGCACCUUGAUCAUGGGUCCUGAUGGUGAGGUGAUGCAGAUGUCCCUGUGGGACCCAGCCAACGUGGCCGACGUUGAGGCUACUGGGCUGGACCAGGCCUCAACAGACCACGGAGAGUCCAGUAAAGGAUCUGGAGCCAACAUGAAACUGACGGGUCUUGUCCAACGACUGGUGGGAUCCCAUCGACAAACCAACCCUCCAGAAGACAAGCAACUGAUGGUUGGAGUUGAAGGAGACAUGGCUGCUGUCAGGUACAACCUUUGCAGCAGUUCAGGUAAACAGCCAGUAGCGAUUAACCAGCAGAUAGCAGGUAUCUGUUCGCUAGGAGCCGUUAGUCAGCACCUCUGUUUCUCUGUUAGCCUUUGUCAUUGUAAUAUCUGUAGAUGUAAGAAGCGCAUAUAA
rnacentral:lncRNA from 1 species